UCGUGUUGUCAUCAUUGGUUUUUGUUGUAGCUAUUUUUUUAAAAGCUUAAUCCAAACCAACUCUGUACCAUCUAGUGUCAGCUGCAUAAAUUGUUUAGGCAUCCAGACCACCUACUCUACCAUCUAGUCGUCCGACCAUCGUCGCGUGACAGCUGCUUUAUACUUUUUAAUUUUACCGAUCCAGCAAAAAGACUCCCUCCAUCCAGGCUUUAUCAGUGUUGUGAGGUACAAACUUGACGGACACCAGUCUUAGAGUGACCAUCCACCCGACACUCUUGCUGAUCUAUUUGUUUCUGCUGAUCCAGCAAAAAAGUUAUGAUGAAUUCGUCACGACGUGCUAUUCGUUCUCACUUGAAGUUUAUUAUAAGAGCGAAUAACAAAAUAAUAGCGAACAAUCAGAAAAUAAUAAACCAGCUCAGGGCACAGUUGCAGUGGUAUCAUCAGCAAACCCAUCACCUAUUGUUGUGUAUUUAUUUGUUGUUGUUUUUGUUGUUGGGUGUAUGGGGCUCCUCCUUUUUUAACAAUUAAUUAAAUUUAAUCUUAAUAUGUGUAACUGGUUUAACCUCCAACUGAAAAGUAAGAACAUAUUUUUUUGAGUGGCAUGACAACGGCAUUUCUAAGGACGUCAUCUAAUUACCGAGCACUUCUAGUUUUUUUUAAUCUAUGCAGCAACUUAAAUAAAUGUGUUUUUUAACCACCAACAAUGCAACUUAGAGGGGUAACUUUGUUUAGCCGUCCGUUCAUUCAAUAAUAAGUAAAGAUUGUGUGGGUCUAACUAACGUUGUUGUUGUACCAUGGUGUCUGCGAUGUGUCCCAGACGUGUUUGUUUCCGCUGCCGUGUGUUACUGAAGUGGCGUUGCAUUCGUU